AUCACUUCUCAGCCUUUUGGCUAAGAUCCAGUGUAGUAUCUGUUCUUAUCAGUAUAAUAUCUGACACACCUCUCUCCGAGGACAAUAUAUUAAAUGGAUUUUUGGAGCAGGGAGGUGGAAGAGGAGAUUGCUCUGUCCACUCCACACAUUGACUUGGUAUUGCAGUACUUCCAAGAAUGGUGUGCCCCUU
ensembl:snRNA U2 U2 spliceosomal RNA